rnacentral:rRNA from 1 species
AUGAACGCUAGCUACAGGCUUAACACAUGCAAGUCGAGGGGCAGCAUGAACUUAGCUUGCUAAGUUUGAUGGCGACCGGCGCACGGGUGAGUAACACGUAUCCAACCUGCCGAUGACUCGGGGAUAGCCUUUCGAAAGAAAGAUUAAUACUCGAUGGCAUAGUUCUUCCGCAUGGUAGAGCUAUUAAAGAAUUUCGGUCAUCGAUGGGGAUGCGUUCCAUUAGGUUGUUGGCGGGGUAACGGCCCACCAAGCCUUCGAUGGAUAGGGGUUCUGAGAGGAAGGUCCCCCACAUUGGAACUGAGACACGGUCCAAACUCCUACGGGAGGCAGCAGUGAGGAAUAUUGGUCAAUGGACGAGAGUCUGAACCAGCCAAGUAGCGUGAAGGAUGACUGCCCUAUGGGUUGUAAACUUCUUUUAUACGGGAAUAAAGUGAGGCACGUGUGCCUUUUUGUAUGUACCGUAUGAAUAAGGAUCGGCUAACUCCGUGCCAGCAGCCGCGGUAAUACGGAGGAUCCGAGCGUUAUCCGGAUUUAUUGGGUUUAAAGGGAGCGUAGGCGGACGCUUAAGUCAGUUGUGAAAGUUUGCGGCUCAACCGUAAAAUUGCAGUUGAUACUGGGUGUCUUGAGUACAGUAGAGGCAGGCGGAAUUCGUGGUGUAGCGGUGAAAUGCUUAGAUAUCACGAAGAACUCCGAUUGCGAAGGCAGCCUGCUGGACUGUAACUGACGCUGAUGCUCGAAAGUGUGGGUAUCAAACAGGAUUAGAUACCCUGGUAGUCCACACAGUAAACGAUGAAUACUCGCUGUUUGCGAUAUACAGUAAGCGGCCAAGCGAAAGCGUUAAGUAUUCCACCUGGGGAGUACGCCGGCAACGGUGAAACUCAAAGGAAUUGACGGGGGCCCGCACAAGCGGAGGAACAUGUGGUUUAAUUCGAUGAUACGCGAGGAACCUUACCCGGGCUUGAAUUGCAACUGAAUGAUGUGGAGACAUGUCAGCCGCAAGGCAGUUGUGAAGGUGCUGCAUGGUUGUCGUCAGCUCGUGCCGUGAGGUGUCGGCUUAAGUGCCAUAACGAGCGCAACCCUUAUCGAUAGUUACCAUCAGGUGAUGCUGGGGACUCUGUCGAGACUGCCGUCGUAAGAUGUGAGGAAGGUGGGGAUGACGUCAAAUCAGCACGGCCCUUACGUCCGGGGCUACACACGUGUUACAAUGGGGGGUACAGAGGGCCGCUACCACGCGAGUGGAUGCCAAUCCCAAAAACCUCUCUCAGUUCGGACUGGAGUCUGCAACCCGACUCCACGAAGCUGGAUUCGCUAGUAAUCGCGCAUCAGCCACGGCGCGGUGAAUACGUUCCCGGGCCUUGUACACACCGCCCGUCAAGCCAUGGGAGCCGGGGGUACCUGAAGUGCGUAACCGCGAGGAGCGCCCUAGGGUAAAACUGGUGACUGGGGCU